rnacentral:lncRNA from 1 species
GUCAUUGUAUUUCAGACAUACACAAAUAAAAGUCAUGUGCCCAUUGAGGCAAAAUAUAUCUUUCCUUUGGAUGACAAGGCCGCUGUGUGUUGCUUUGAAGGUCAUCAGUGGGAAGUACAUAGUUGGAGAGAUUAAAGAGAAGGAAGAAGCCCAGUCAGAGUACCGAGGAGCAGUGACCCAGGGCCAUGGCGCUUACCUGAUGAGUCAGGAUGCUCCAUUCUACAGCAAAUCGUCACAUCCUAAGGAUUUUUUCCCAGUGUAGUGCCGGAGUAUUUGAAUAUUUUAAUGCAAAAUCCAAACAUAGUUGGAGAAAAGAGAUAAAGACCAAAUGACCAGGUUAUGUUCUCCGAAUUGCCACUCUGUCUCCGUCAAAUGGUAGCAACUCAACACAGAUGUGCCCGCGGCCCUGCAGGCCCCAGCCCAGGUGCCGUCGUUGUUUCACAAUGAUUGACUCCUUGUCUAUGGAUUCAUUCCUCACUGCACACAGGCAACUCUGUGUGCACUAAUUUGAGAAAGAAUUUUUGUACAAUAGUGUCGACUAUUGAGCUUCAGAAGACAACUGGAACUAUGAUUGACAAGCUGGCAACCCGAGCUCUAAUCAGAGAUUACAAAGAUGGCAUUCUUCAUGAAAAUGAAACCAGUCGUGAGGAUGAAGAAACAAACCUUGAAAUCUCUGAUUAUUAAACCCAGUAAAGAAAACUCUCUCAUAAUACAAUUUACAAGCUUUGUGGCAGUUGAGAAAAGGGAUGAGAAUGAGUCACCUUUUCCUGAUAUUCCAAAAGUUUCUGAACUUAUUACCAAAGAAGAUGUAGACUUCCUGCCCUACAUGAGCUGGCAGGGGGAGCACCAAGGAGCCAUCAGGAACCAACCUCUUUUAGUGUCCUCUGAGUGGCAAGAAUUACCUUCAUCCAAACCAAAACUUAGGGCUAAAAGAAAAAUGAAAUUAUCUAAGACAGAAAUUUCUGAAGAUUUUGAAGAGGAUGGCUUAGGUGUACUACCAGCUUUCACAUCAACUUUGGAACGUGGAGGUGUGGAAAAGCUAUUGGAUUUAAAUUGGACAGAGUCAUGUAAACCAACAGCAACUGAACCACUAUAUAAGAAAGUUAGCCUGACCGGAAACAUCUACUUCUAACUUUUUUUGUGUUUCUGCUCCAGCCUUUGGUUCCUCUCUUCCCCCGGCUGCCCGCUCUCACAGUCCUGCUUCCUUGCCUUUUGCCUCAUAUUGUCAGAUAGCUAGUUUUGGUUUUGCUGCUCCUCCCAGACAGUUUGAUGCAUCUCAAUUCAGCCAAGGCCCUGUGCCUGGCAGUUGUGCUGACUGUAUCCCACAGUUGGCGUCUUGUCCCACAGGACCUCCCCAGAACCCCUCUUCUGCACCCUACUGUGGCAUUGCUCUUUCAGGGAGCUCAUUGAGCUCCACACAGUCUGCUCCACUGCAACCUGUUGGAGGCCGUACGACCAGGCCUUCUACUGGCACCUACCCUGAGCUGGAUUCUCCCCAGCUUCAUUUCUCUCUUCCUACAGACCCUGAUCCCAUCAGAGGUUUUGGGUCUUAUCAUCCCUCUGCUUCCUCUCCUUUUCAUUUUCAGCUUUCCGCAGCCCCUUUGACUGCCAAUAACCUCUGCCUUACCUGAGCCUCUUUACAGUCAGUCCUGGACUACCCCAGUAGAUCUCUGUCUUCUGGACGAAUCAGUAGGCAGUCUUGAAGGAAGUCAAUGUCCUGACUAUGGUUUUCAAAGUUGUUCUGAAACAGAAAGUCAUGAGCUAUGAGAAGUACUGCUUUUUACAAAUAAAAUGUGAUACAACAGACAACAGUAUCCCGUGCUUUCUGGAGGUAAUAGAGGAGGAUGAAACAGUGUGCACACAGCACUGGCAGGAUGCUGUGCCUUGGACUGCACUCUUCAGUCUACAGAGAGAGAUGGCUUCUGAAAACUUACACCAGAACUGCAAUUUAUAUUAAAUCUUAAUACAAAUGCUUUGCACAGCUUAAACAAAAAGGCAUUGAAAUUGUAGGUAUAAAAAGAAGAGAACAUCUCCUGGACCUAAUUGCCACAAAGCAAUAUUACAGUUUAUUUGCACCAGGUUGGAAAAAAAGGGAAUAGUGUUCAAAUCACUGAUGGAACUGGAAUAUGCUUCUAUUUCCAGAAUAUUCCCUGGGCUUUUGAAGCAAUAAAGAAAGCAAGUGAAUGGGUAAGAAGAACUGAAGGACAGUACCCAUCUAUCUGCCCAUGGCUUGAACUGGGGAAUGACUGGGACUCGGCCACCAAGCAGUUACAGGGACUCCAGCCCAUAAACACUGUGUCCCCUCUUCAUAGAGUCCUUCAUUACAGUCAAGGCUAA